rnacentral:tRNA from 1 species
UCCCUUGUGGCUCAGUUGGUAAAGAAUUCACCUGCAAUGUGGGAGACCUGGGUUCAAUCCCUGGUUUGGGAA